ensembl:lncRNA
CUUAAACUAGAUAUUACAAAGAAAUUCUUUUCUGUGAGGGUGAUGAAACACUGAAACAGGCUGCCUAGAAAGGUUGUUAAUGCCCCCUUCCUGCAAGUGUUCAAGGCCAGGCUGGAUGGGACUUUGAGGAACCUGAUCUAGUGGAAGGUGUUCUUCCUGUAGCACAGAGGUUGGAACUAGAUGAUUUUAAACGUUUCUUCCAACCCAAACCGUUCCAUGAUUCUAUGAUAUCUCUUCCCAGAAAACCUCCACCACAUCCCUCAGCAGCCUGUUCCCAUACCUCAGCACUCUUUCUGGGAAGAAACUUUUUCCUAACACCCAACCUGAACUUCCCCUGGCACAACUUCAGACCUUUACUUCUUGCUUUAUCACUAGUUUCAUGGGAAAAGUGGUGGCCAACUUCUGUUUCACCACAACCUCCUUUCAUAGAGUUGUGAAGAAUGAUAAAGUCUGCCCUGAGCCUCCUCUCUUCUAGACUAAACAAUCCCAUUUCUGUCAGUUGCUCCUCAUAAGACUUGUGUUACAGAUCCUUCACCAGCUUUAUUGCACUUCUCUGGAUGCACUCGAGGUCCUCAGAGUCUUCCUUGUAGUGUCCAGAACUGAACACAUUUGUCAAGGUGCAUCUUCACCGGUUCCAAGUAUGGAGGGACAAUCACCUCCCUGCUCCUGUUGAUUACAGUAUUUCUGAAACAAGAUAGAUGCCAUUAGUUUUCUUGACCACCUGGGCACUCUGCUGACUGAUAUUCAGCCAGCUUUCAGCUAUAGGGAAAUAACUGAAUGACCAGGUCAACAGAGGUAACUGAGUUGGUACAAAAUUUAAUUUUGCAAAGUGCCAACUCAUGCAUUUAAAAACCAAUGGCAAUGGCUGCUGCCAUAAAUAGCGAACUCAUCAAUUGGAAUCGACACAGAAGAAGAAUGUUCUAGUCUAUUAAUCUAUCACAGCAUGACAAUGAACCUCAAAUGUUGCUGUGGUCAUGAAAAAAGCAAAUACAUCAGGUGCGGCAUUCCCAGUGAGGACAGGGAAUCUAUAAAUACCACUGUGUAAGAUAUCACCAAGAACUCAUCAUGAAUGCUGUGUAUAUUUCGGUCACUCACAUGCAAGGAAGAUGAACUCAAGAAAGUGCCAAGGAGUGCUGCUAAAAUGACUGGGGAAAUGAUGAGCUUAUCUUACAUGAGGAGAGUAAAGGAAUUUUGCUUGUUUAGCCUAGCAACACAAGGAAAGAAAAGGGACUAUAAUUAUCCUCUCUAAAAAUAAAUAAAUAAAUAAAUAAAUAAGAGAAGAGUUAUUUGAACUGAAGAGUUCUGCUGGCACAAGAACAAUAAAGAUAAGCAGUCAUGGACAAAUAUGUGCUGGAAUUAGAUGAAGGUUUGUGGGAAAUGACAUGAACUAGUAGAUGGAAUGAGAGGGACAAAAUCUAAUUAAGCUUGAAGUGGAACUUCACCCACUGCUGAAUGAUAAUGUGUGGAAUUGCCAGGUCAUGGCCUGAACCAAUGGUUGAGCACCAGGCAAGAAGGCAUGGCUAACCCAGGGAGCUCAGGUGCAAGCAAUGCACUCCUCCUGAGCUGUCACUUGCUGUCAGAAAGGAAUUUCACAGGCGUCCAAGGUGUUGCUGAUCACACAUUGAAAGUUGAUGACAUCGGAAAUGGGAAUGCACCUUACCUUCACAUUUUUCACCUUUUUGACAAAACUGUGGCAAGUGCUCUAAAUCCUAAAUCCACAAACAUUCGUAAGGAAUUCCAUCAAGAUUUCAAGAUAGAAAAGAAAGAGAGAGAUCAGUUGGACAAAACUGCUUCUGGAACAGCAAAGAAGUGCUCUGAGCCGAGUACUUGAAAGCAGCUGUGAAGAUACGAAACUGUCUGGGCAUCAUCAUUGCAUGCUUUUCCUUGGAAUGAAGAG